AGAAACCAACAAUAACUGUGAUCAAAAUAUAACAUUUUAUUGAGGUCAGAAAGAUACCCAACAAGAGUGGAGGACAUGACCAAGUUGCAAAGAGACACGCGACGCCGUCUUCGUCCUCCCACACCCGCAAUGCAAACAGUCGACUGCACGGCGCCAGCAGACGCUCAAACUUAACUGUCGACUGGCGGCAAUUUUUAGCCGCCUUUGCCGCCGGCGUCCGCCAUCUGUUUGGGGCGGACGGCAAUCUGCUGCGACGAGGCGGCGAAGGGAUUGAACAGAGGCUGAAAAGCCAGGGUGGCUUUGCCUCCCUCCGUGUGCCGCCAAGUUUGCGCAAGACGCAGCCUUUAACCCCCAAAACACCAGCUACGUGACGUUCUUCUGCGUCCGUACCACGUGUAAAUAUUUGGGUCAAAUAGGACGAUUGUAGU